rnacentral:lncRNA from 1 species
CUGCGAACAUCUAAAAAUGACUAUUCCAUAGGCAUGCAUAAUGGAUGAUCUAGGUGCUAUGGAACACUGAUUGGAAAGGAUUCUCUUUCAGAAUUUUCGAGGAGUUGCCACUUUUGCUUCUACUUCAUUGUGCCUGGGACUCCUAUUUUCCUCCUACUGGGAACACAGCAUCAUAUAUCGAACCUGCUUUGUGCAUACACUGCUUCCUAGAGAUGUGAACUCCAUUCUCUAGCUCUGAGCCGUUGCUUCAGCUGUGUUUUCACUGUUCCAGUGUUCUUUCAGGCCUGCAGCUUUUAGCUGGUGUAAUAUUUGUUAAGGUCAUUCCUGUAGUUACUGGCCCACUCCCUCACCUGCAUUUCUGUUAGGUGGCCUCACUAGUUUUUGACAGUUGUUUGUGGAAUCCUGUGCCAAGCAGCCAACACUCUGUAAGGCUUCGGACACUGGGGCUGUCUGACACCCUCAGUUUCAGAUUCACCCAGAUGCCUUGGAUAAUUUGUUUUGGAAAACAUAUAUUGAAGAUAUCAGAGCCACAGUAUGACAGAAGACUAGGUCCCAGAAUCACAACUGGAAGGAAAGUCAUGCACUAAUGAAGAAAACAAUUCUUAAGGCUUAUAUGAGCUGAAAACAAACUUCUGUCAUGUUGCUGCCUUUAUCCAUUUUUAAAAGAUGUUUGUCAUCAGUAGUGCUACUCUAAUAAAAUACAUCAUGAGCACAAUAACUUAAA